CUCCCAAGUGCCCCACCCCGAAAUGCCCCCCAAAGUGUCCUCCAAAGUGCCCUCCAGUCUCUUCCUGCUGCAGUGUCAGCUCUGGGGGCUGCUGUGGCCCCAGCUCUGGGGGCUGCUGUAGCUCUGGGGGAGGUGGCUGCUGCCUGAGCCACCACAGGCGUCGCAGGUCCCACCGCCGCAGACACCAGAGCUCUGACUGCUGCAGCCAGCCCUCGGGGGGCUCCAGCUGCUGUGGCGAGGGGAGCCGUCAGUCCUCUGGAGGCUGCUGCUGAAGUGACCCUGAGCCAAGAAGAACAGACUUGAGGGCAGCAAAUGGUCAAAUCCUUCCUCCUCCUCCUGCUCCUUCUGCUGGACCUGCCCAUGUUGCUGAAAGGUCUGGGUGAGGCCUUUGAGCUCUGUUCCAGAGGAUCCCUGUGCCCUGGUAUCCAAGGAGCCCAAAGCCUCUCCCCCAAACCCAUUUACUGAUCUCCUUCCUCAUAUUUCCGUUAUGUGUGGCUGCCCCGGGAACCCCAAAGCUCAGACCCUGUGUGUCUCCUCAGCUUAUCUUUUUGCAUACCCCAGCCUGAUGUGACACAAUAAAACUAGAAAUCUGCAUUCCCUCUUGCCUUGA